GAAAUAUUCUGAUGUUUCAUUUGCGGAAAAAAAAAAAAGGGAAGGUAAAGCUGACUCAAUAGUGGCAACAGCGGGAUAGUGAAAAGUAGAUGGGAAUGAUCUUUAUCGGUGUUGAAGACAAAAAGAACAAGUAGAGAGAGCCGGACGUGACGGAUGUAAGAGACAGGAAGCCUAACUUCGCCUUGGCGAGUGGGAUAGGCACGCGGCGGUGGCGGCAGCGGCCGGAACGCAGUGACGUACUUCCGUUGGUGGGGUCGGCCGCGCGCACGCUCACUUCCGUCGCGCCUGCGCAGGUGGCCCCCUACUCCCGGUUGUGGCGGGUUUUCGGGACCCAUAUUACACAUGUUAGCCUUUCAUAGGAGUCUGUGCACUUUUAAUUCCUGAGGGCGAUGCGCUGUGGUGCAGCCGUCAGGGCCGGCCAGAAAGUCUGCAGGUGCCUGCUGUCUGGGUUUAGUCGAGUAGAUGGAGGGCAGUUGACGGAAGGGAGCGGCUCCUUUGUAGGGCCCUUGAGGUCGCACGGGGAGCUGCCCCCGGUGAGCGAGCUGAGAGAAGGCCCCGAGUCUGGCGGCGAGGAGAGCGAGGUGCUGGUAGAGAUCUGUCAGAAAAGGCGUUUCCUCAGUGGCACCAAGCGACAGCUUAGUCGAGAUUCUUUACUGAGCGGGUGCCACCCCGGCCUUGGCCCCUUGGGUAUAGAGUUGCGGAAGAACCUGGCGGCGGAAUGGUGGUCCACGGUGGUGGUGUUCAGGGAGCAGGUCUUCCCGGUAGACGCCCUCUACCAUGAACCAGGCCCUUCGCUGCCCGGGGACAGUGCCUUCAGGUUAGUUUCUGCAGAAACGCUACGCGAAAUCUCGCAAGACAAAGAGCUGAGUAAGGAACAGCUAGGAGCAUUUCUUGAGAACUUACUGAAAACUUCUGGGAAACUGCGGGAGAACCUUCUUCACGGCGCCUUGGAGCAUUAUGUUAAUUACCUGGAUCUGCUAAACAAGAGGCUACCUUUUGGCCUUGCUCAGAUUGGAGUGUGUUUUCAUCCUGUUUCUGAUACUAAGCAGACACCUGAUGGUGUUAAAAGAAUCGGUGAAAAGACUGAAGCUUCACUGGUAUGGUUUACUUCAGCAAGAACUGCGAGCCAGUGGCUUGAUUUCUGGUUACGUCAUCGACUCCUGUGGUGGAGAAAGUUUGCUGUGAGUCCAUCUAACUUCAGCAGCAGUGACUGUCAGGAUGAAGCGGGCCGAAAAGGAAACAAGCUUUACUACAAUUUUCCGUGGGGAAAGGAGCCAAUAGAAACCCUUUGGAAUCUAGGAGAUCAUGAACUUUUACACAUGUAUCCUGAAAAUGUAGCUCAAUUACAUGGCAGAGAUGGACGGAAAAAUGUGGUUCCUUCUGUUUUAUCCAUAAAUGGAGAUCUAGACCGAGGCAUGCUGGCAUAUCUCUACGAUUCUUUCCAGCUAACAGAGAACUCCUUCACAAGAAAGAAAGAUCUUCAUAGAAAGGUGCUUAAACUUCACCCUUGUUUAGCCCCUAUUAAGGUUGCUUUGGAUGUGGGAAGAGGCCCAACAGUGGAACUAAGACAGGUUUGUCAAGGGCUAUUUAAUGAAUUAUUAGAAAAUGGAAUAUCUGUGUGGCCUGGUUAUUUGGAAACUGUGCCAUCCUCAUUGGAACAACUUUAUUCAAAAUACGAUGAAAUGAGUAUCCUCUUCACAGUGUUGAUUACUGAAGCUACUUUGGAGAAUGGAUUAAUACAUCUGAGAAGUAGAGACACCACAAUGAAGGAAACGAUGCAUAUAUCCAAAGGGCCUCAGCCUCACAGGAAGAUCGAAUUCCUGGUCUCAGAUCAGCUGACUGCACUAACUGGCAACAUGGAAUGUCUAUACUGCAGUUGAGGGAGCAUCUGCAAACUGCCUUCUGCCUUCACAGCUGUGAACUGCUCCGUGCCUCAUUGAACCAAUUUCUCAGCCCUGAGAAUAGUGCAGCCUUCUGAACUGAAAGAGAGAAAAGGAACAUAAGAAAACUCUUUUUCCACAUGUUGUUUUGGUUUGGAGAUUCAAGCUUCAAAAUGAAAGAAUUCAGCAAGAGACAAAAUGAUAAGCAAGAAGUGGAUUUAUUCAGAGAGAAACACAAAAGGUUUCUCACCUCCGUUGCGUGGGAAGUGGCUUCUUUCUCCGGAGCAUGGCGCAAAAGCAGAACUAACUACCCGAAGCCUUCGCUCACUCUCAGGAUGCAGCUGGGGUGGACC